GGAUCGCCCUUCGAUUAGAUACCCCUGUAGUCCUAGCCGUAAACGAUGCUCGCUAGGUGUCAGUCACGGUGCGACCGUGAUUGGUGCCGUAGGGAAGCCGUGAAGCGAGCCACCUGGGAAGUAUGGCCGCAAGGCUGAAACUUAAAGGAAUUGGCGGGGGAGCACUACAACGGGUGGAGCCUGCGGUUUAAUUGGAUUCAACGCCGGAAAUCUCACCGGGGGCGACAGCGAUAUGAAGGUCAGGCUGAAGACUUUACCGGAUUAGCUGAGAGGUGGUGCAUGGCAAGGGCGAUCCA
rnacentral:rRNA from 2 species